GCGGGGAUAGCUCAGUUGGGAGAGCGUCAGACUGAAGUAACACUUCAUUCUAAUAAUCUGAAGGUCGUGCGUUCGAUCCGCACUCACCGCA